AUUGAACGCUGGCGGCAUGCUUUACACAUGCAAGUCGAACGGUAACAGGCCGCAAGGUGCUGACGAGUGGCGAACGGGUGAGUAAUGCAUCGGAACGUGCCCAGUCGUGGGGGAUAACUACUCGAAAGAGUAGCUAAUACCGCAUACGAUCUAUGGAUGAAAGCGGGGGACCGGAAGGCCUCGCGCGAGUGGAGCGGCCGAGGUCAGAUUAGAUAGUUGGUGGGGGAAAGGCUCACCAAGCCAACGAUCUGUAGCUGGACUGAGAGGGCGACCGCCCACCCUGGAGCUUGGCCACGGCCCAGGCUCCUGCGGGAGGCAGCAGUGUGGAAUUUUGGACAACGGGCGCAAGCCUGAUCCAGCAAUGCCGCGUGCAGGAAGAAGGCCUUCGGGUUGUGAACUGCGUUUGUACGGAGCGAAACGGCUCUGGUUAAUACCCGGGGCUAAUGACGGUACCGUAAGAAUAAGCACCGGCUAACUACGUG
rnacentral:rRNA from 1 species